rnacentral:rRNA from 1 species
UACGAAGGGGGCUAGCGUUGCUCGGAUUGACUGGGCGUAAAGGGCGCGUAGGCGGUUCGUACAGUCAGACGUGAAAUUCCUGGGCUCAACCUGGGGGCUGCGUUUGAUACGUGCGGACUUGAGUGCGGAAGAGGGUCGUGGAAUUCCUGGUGUAGCGGUGAAAUGCGCAGAUAUCAGGAGGAACACCAGCGGCGAAGGCGGCGCUCUGGGCCGGAACUGACGCUGAGGAGCGAAAGCGUGGGUAGCAAACAGG